CCUACGGGAGGCAGCAGUGGGGAAUUUUGGACAAUGGGCGCAAGCCUGAUCCAGCCAUUCCGCGUGCAGGAUGAAGGCCUUCGGGUUGUAAACUGCUUUUGUACGGAACGAAAAGGCUCUCUCUAAUACAGAGGGCUCAUGACGGUACCGUAAGAAUAAGCACCGGCUAACUACGUGCCAGCAGCCGCGGUAAUACGUAGGGUGCAAGCGUUAAUCGGAAUUACUGGGCGUAAAGCGUGCGCAGGCGGUGAUGUAAGACAGUUGUGAAAUCCCCGGGCUCAACCUGGGAACUGCAUCUGUGACUGCAUCGCUGGAGUGCGGCAGAGGGGGAUGGAAUUCCGCGUGUAGCAGUGAAAUGCGUAGAUAUGCGGAGGAACACCGAUGGCGAAGGCAAUCCCCUGGGCCUGCACUGACGCUCAUGCACGAAAGCGUGGGGAGCAAACAGGAUUAGAUACCCUGGUAGUCCACGCCCUAAACGAUGUCAACUGGUUGUUGGGUCUUCACUGACUCAGUAACGAAGCUAACGCGUGAAGUUGACCGCCUGGGGAGUACGGCCGCAAGGUUGAAACUC
rnacentral:rRNA from 1 species